UUUUCCUCCAUGCUUGAGAACUUCAAAAGUCACCCCAAUCAGAGAAAUGGUCAAGGUCUGGAUCUGCUGAAACCAUCACUGAAAGCAAAUCAUACUCAUGAGCCACCCUGAUGAGCUUUGAAUUAGCAUUCAACCUUCAGAAAGAGACAAAACCAUGAGGUGAAGUUCUCACAGUCUCUCUUAUUUUUGUGAAUGGCAGAAGACAUGGAAACAAGCUAUGUUAAUCCACACCUGCUUUAUCAAGAAGAAAACUCCGCAUAUGAACAUGGACCAAGAGUCAAAGUUGCCC